UUUCUUUGCAACAUAGGGCAGUAUACGGAUUGCAUAUUUCAGUGAGUUUAUUAUCUACGGAGAUAACAAGACCCAAAGUAGCUGAAAGCAAACUACUCAACCUCUUUAUAAAAGGAAAACUUACAAAACAGGAGUGAAUCAUGAUGGCACAAGUGAUAUGAGGACAGUGAACAGCAGCACUUGGGCUGGUAAAGGCCAAGAACUUGCCCUGAGCACCGUACCUGGGGCUUCUGCCAUGGUGCCAUGGAGCAGAAGCUCACACGGAGCAAAUAGCAAUCCACAAUUGCACUGCAAAAUGUAAAGCUUUCUUGGCCUGUGGUGUGAGCAGCUGGCAGGGAGCGAUGGGGUAAGACGAAUACGUGUCCCAGUGAUGGGUCGAGGCCAAGCACUAAAGGCACGUCACGGCUGCUCGUGAUUCCAGAGCUGGGCGUGAUGAGAGCCAGCCAUCACCUCUGCUCAGUGCUCCUGUGAGUGGCAACAAGUUACAAAAGCCAGAGAGUCCUGUCCUCCUCCUCUCCCCAAAGUCACAACAGCAACAGCAGACCGAACGUAGAUGUGCUUUGAAGAAGCAGGAGUUGUGGAUUGCAGGUGAUGCUAUCAAGUGAAGACAGCUGGCUUGGGUGUAACGUGGAGCCUGCGUAACCGCUGACGUUUUGGAGUACUGUCAGCCUCUGUCAGCCUCUAUCACCUGGAAAAGCUCCUCGUGCAAUUCGGCUGUAGCUUGUGCCAAGCACUUUAUAGUCAUUACUAAAAUGAUGACCUGUUGGCUUUGGUUUCCUCAUAUAAAGAAAUGGAAGGUGAAUACUGGGGAGGAAACUGUUGUACAGCACAAUGGGGUCAAAAAAAGUUGCUGUUUGUAUCCUGGCAUGCUUCUUGGGAUGGUGGCAACCUUGCAGGGCUGAGGACAAUGUCCCUUUAAUGCAAAGUUUGGAUGUGUCAUUUACUGGCACGUUAAUUAUUUUCCUGUUAAGGGAUUUGCUGUGUGAUCCAUGCAUUUCUGACUGCAUACAGCCAGGAACACGAGGUAUAAGCAUUUCUACUCACAAACAUCUUCAGUCUCCGCUUAGAAAUGGGAACUAUUUAAAAACAGGCUGUGAAUACAGAUUCAGUGAUGUUGUAAUUACUGUACUCGACGAGAUGGCUCAUUUUAGGAUGGGGAAAGGAGUAGUUACUAAUACAGCAUCUCAUAAAAGAGACUUUAAUUAAGCCAAGAGGCAAAAUAUAACAACAGUCUGCUUAUGGUAGGCAUGCUGCAUCAAAGAUCCCCAGACUGAGGGGAGGAUUAAGCUGGUUAUAGUUUCCACAUCAGCAUAAUUCUUGAUUUCAGCACUUGCCAAAAUAAAGCCUGCAUCAUAAAAUAGGUGAAUUCCCAUACAGCAACCUGUGGUAAGUUUUCAGCUUUUUUUUUUUUUUUUUUUUUUAAAUUGAGAUGACAGAGUUACAUUUAGAGUGAAUGGGUUAAUGCCAUGUGCAUUUGUAUAAUGAGAGAUAGAAGAUCCUUAAAUAAUGGAAAUGAUCCAGAUUCUACCUCAGUUCUUCCCAAUACAAUUAAGUGCUGGGCACUUUUAUUCAUAUAUACAGUGCUAUUCGUUUAUACAGUGCUGUUCAUAUUUGUUGUUCCUGGCAGCAGAUUCAGUGCCUUUUUCCCUGUCCCAUCGAGUCCCUUGGUGGUGGCCCUCUGAGGCUGCUCCCCCAUAAAACCCUCCAAUGACCUUCCCAAGCUCCCCAGCCCUUGUACCUCCCUGGGGCUGGCUCU